UAACUACUCCCUCCGUCCCAAAAUUCUUGUCAUAGCUUUGUCUAGAUACAUCCGUAUUUAGACAAAUCUAAGACAAGAAUUUUGGGACGGAGGGAGUAUUAU
rnacentral:pre_miRNA from 1 species